rnacentral:lncRNA from 1 species
UACUGCAUUUGCAUGGCGCUGCUGAAAUACUCCAGGAUCAUGAAAAAAAAUAGAACUAGCCUAUCUGGUACUUCACAGCAACCAAACAUGUAAUCUGCUUAAUGGAAAGAUUUCUUCUCCAAGUCCCGCUUCUCCCUUAGCAAGCAAUGACAGGCUGAUGCAAAACAUCUGAGCAUUCAAAAGAGAGCAAAAGGUAAGUCACUGAUAGAACACAGAGUACUUUUAAAAUAAAAAGUGAAGAUACACCAGUAUAUUAUCAUUCUACUUAUUAUUAUUAUUAACCAGAUCAUUCUACUUAUCCAGAAUAUGGUUAUUGAUCAAAAUUGGGAAUUGAAUUGGCACAUAUGACAAACUUAGCAGCAAAC